rfam:Salmo salar isolate Sally breed double haploid chromosome ssa27, whole genome shotgun sequence.
UGGCUCAGUUGGUAGAGCAUGGUGUGUGCAACGCCAGGGUUGUGGGUUCGAUUCCCUC